UACGGAGGGUGCAAGCGUUAUCCGGAUUUACUGGGUUUAAAGGGUGUGUAGGCGGGCUUUUAAGUCAGUGGGGAAAUCUCCGGGCUCAACCUGGAAACUGCCAUUGAUACUAUUAGUCUUGAAUUUUGUUGAGGUAGGCGGAAUAAGUCAUGUAGCGGUGAAAUGCAUAGAUAUGACUUAGAACACCAAUUGCGAAGGCAGCUUGCUAAACAAAUAUUGACGCUGAGGCACGAAAUCGUGGGGAUCAAACAGG
rnacentral:rRNA from 1 species